GACUUCUGGCAGCUGGGUUUCUUUUCACUUUAGUGGUCGUGGGGCUUCCUAUGCCUUCAGGGCUGGGUGCGGGGCCGACCGGCGCUGGAAGGGGGCAGUGAAAGUACGCGUUUGACCCGGGACGCCGAGGAGCCUCUCGGGAGACACCUGGCUUGUCCCGCCCCCUCCCGGGCUACCGGGUCUGCGAGGCCGAUCGGGCUGUCCAGAGCCACGUCGCGACUGCUGGUAAACGCGCUUCCCCGGGGUUUUUGCAGACACGGC
rnacentral:lncRNA from 1 species